AAAGUGCCGCGGAAUAAAUGGUGUUUCUUAUCUCUGCCUUCCAGAUUAUCGCAGCCCUUUCAGAGCGCACACAACAAAUGCGCCCGCCAUCGAAUGCAGCAUUUACCACCACAGAUCCGCGCGCCGAUGGGCAGGCUGAUAAAGUCCGCGGGGGGCUCGCCGGGGCGAGUGUGCGCCCCGGCUCUGCCUGGUGUGUUUGGAGGAACACGUGGGUAUGGCAGCGCGUGGACCCUGAGCACGCAAGGAUGUGAGUGUGCGAGUAAGUGUGCCUCGAGAAAGUUCACGUGUGCGAGACCCUGCGCACAUGCAUGGUGAGUGUUGUGGCGAGUGCCAGAGCAGAGGCCACCAAGAGGCUGGCGGGUAGGGUUGCUGCACGUGGCCUCGUGGGAAGCAUGCGGCUAAUGUGCGCCGAGUGCACGAGACAAUUUACUUUGAGGGCCUACAAGUACCUAGCCUUGGAGGAUGUUGUUUGAGGGUGCGGAACAGAGGGGUUCGAAGCCACUCCAAGUAUGUGUAGCACUUUGCAGGCUGCACUCCACAAGGUGUCUUCCUAAAGCUGCUGGAUGGAAGCGGUAGCUGACGUUUGUGCCGGGGACUCAGGCCUUUGGAACACGCACGGGUCUGUGGGACAGUGUGGACCCAGAACGACUAGGUGUGCAGAGAGAUGCGCGAAGGGACAGCGGCCCUGAGGCCUUGCGGUUCUUUGGAGUCUCUGGACAAGAACCCCCUCCCCUCCUGUCUGCUGGUCCCUCCACCCGAAGAAGUCUGCCUAUGGCCAAAUAGCAUCCAUUAGACGGUAGUUAUUCUCUUCUCCCCUCCUCUACUCCCCUCCUCUGUCUGAUGGUCAAUUUUAUCGUUUCUAGUGAAUUCUCUAAUAACAUUUGCUUGUUCAGGGGUCUGUGAUGUUUUGAACAACGGCAGGGCUGUGGAAUUCUGACGACUAGUUGGGAUUAUCACAACAUGGGGAAGGAGUGGCUGAGGACCUAAGGGGUCUGUAAGCCCCACGGGCCGGGUUACAAAGCCUUCCUUGCUUCACUGAACAUAGGAUAGUCACUGGCUGUGAGGUACAAGAGUUACCCAGCAGCCACACCCCAGGACCUGCCUACCUGAUCUGAAUGAGAGGGAGCUACAUGGCCCCUCCCUUCUCUGCACCUGCGGAGGUGAAUUCACCCCAUCUUGCUCUCCUAGAGCUGGUCCUGGGUAGCAGUGGGACCUGUGGCCCGAGUGGUACUUGAACCACAGGAAACCUCAUUAUUUAGGUUAAUUAGACAGAGCAGCCCCAGCCUUGGUGGUCCAUUGCUGACUGUGGAGCUGGGACGGCAUACUGCCAAAAGGAGUUUAGCAGGCUCCAUUCUGGGGCUUGGGGCUUGGGAGUAGCUCUGGCCAGGAGUGCUGGGAGUUACCUUAAGUUCUAGCAGUUUCCUCAGCACUGUCCUGGAAGAGGAGCUGAGUGGGGGCUCCCCCAUCCACAGACCUUCCCCUCCCACAUGGUCAUCCACAGACCAAGCCUCCUAGCUUGGCAGCUUUAUACAAGUUGCUUUCCCACUCGGAGCCUCUGGUUCUGCCUCUGCACUUCUCCUUCCAGGAUCCAGGAUCGUGGACUGUGGGGCUUGUGUGUGAGCUUGCCUUUAAACAGCAUUUUUGUAAGCCUGACUUGACAAUUGGCAGCCAAAGUCUCCAGCUGGUACCACACCCAAUGUCUGCCAGCACUAGAUGCGGAGGAUCUCAUGUAAAGAAUUUCGUUUCUUGCAUCUCGUGAAACACUUCAAGACUGGCCACUUUGUGCCUGAGUUCUUCAUGGUGAGGGAAUGCUGGAGUGCUGUGAAUACCCCUGUGAGAACCUGGAGCCGACACAUACCCCAGUCCUUAGAUCAGGAACACUGAGUACCAGUGGCUGGGUUAGUUUUGCCUUCCCCUCCAGCACUGGGGACUUCAGGCUUGUUUCUCUCUGUAGGACCAGUAAACCUCUUAGUAAUUAGUCAAUGACUUAAUGCAAUCAACAUGUAAAGGGGACACAUGGAGCCUUACUGCAAAAGUCCCCAGUGGUGCAUAUUGAACUGUGCCCAAUGCAGUGAGCUGUGUGUGCCCAAUGCAGCGAACUGUGCCCAAUGCAGUCAGGUCUGACUCAUCACGAAGAUCAGUGCAUCAUCAGAUUAUGGUAACAAUCAUUGGGGGCAUGUUUUCUAAUAUCCAGGCCUCCCUCUGAACAAUAGAAGCCGUGAAAUAAAAGGGACAUGGACAUCACCACUGUGUGCAGCAGCCCCCCCCCCCCUUAGGAUUCAUGGGCAGUAGUGGUGCAUACCUUUAAUCCCAGCACUUGGGAGAGGCAGAGGCAGAGGCAGAGGCAGAGGCAGAGGCAGAGGCAGAGGCAGAGGCAGAGGCAGAGGCAGAGAGGCAGAGGCAGAGGCAGAGGCAGAAUCUCUGAGUUCUGGGGCAGCCCUGUUUACAGAGUGAGUUCCAGAAAAACUAAAGUUAAAUAAAGAAUGAGGAGAAGGAGGAGGACGAGGACGAGGAGGAGGCCUCCUCCUCUUCCUCUCUGGGCUUACUGGCCUUGGUUGUGAGGAGUCCAUUUGCAUUUUGGAAAAUGCUCAGUCAUGUUAGAAACAGAAUCGACUUGAGCUGGCAGCAUGGGGACAUAGAGGGACCUGGAGGAUGGUAAGGUGAGUCCAGGGUUCUACUUUGCAGUCUGUCUAUCCUGACCUUUCCCAUCUGCAUUGCUGCUCCUACUGCUAUCUUCUCCUGCUCAGAUUACCAUAGCAACAUUCUCUCAGGACAUCAAAACCAGGGUCCUAUGCGAACCUCCUCUCCUUCCCUGCUAGAAGAAGCCCCAAAAGCUUGUUCUUUGUUACCCAUCAGGCUGCUGAGCUGUCCUCCUGGCUCCCUCCUACAGCUCCGCCCUCUCCCCAGGUGUUACCUCCCCAGGCCAUUUCUAGCUUAGCUGGGAGGGGAGGGUGUAGCAGGGAUCUGGAGGGUCCUAGGAAUUGCAAUAUUCCAGGUGGGCCACUUCACAGAGCAGUGGCUGGGAUUCCCCAAGGCACAGGCAACUUGCAGCUGGUGACCAGAACAGAGAAAGACCUAAGAUGAAGACAAACAAACAUCCAAGGCCUAGUGUAGGACCAGAGGCCAGCUGUGGAGACUGGGAUGCACGACUGGAUGUUAUGGGCACACAGGUGUUCCUUCUCAGACCCCAUAUCCACUCAGUACAGAGCACCUGUCUCCAGAGCCUGGCCAAUCAGAGCUUCCUGGAGUAAGAUGCAUUGGCUUAGAGUAGGUAUGUCAUUUAGAUCUAGGAGAAACACUUCUGGACACUCAUCUAUCCCUCAGCCCAGGAUUCAUCUUCCUGGUCAGACAAAACCUAGAGCUGCUGGUGCCAUCUUCGUGCCACACAAAACCUGCUGAGAGCAGAAAUCACUGGGGCUCAGAGCUGAGAGAGACAGAGAGAAUCCUACUGUGCUAUCUAUUUUGUUUGUUUUGUUUUGUUUUGUUUUGUUUUGAGACAGGGUCUCUCUGUAUAGCCCUGGUUAUCCUGGAAAUCACUCUGAAGACCAAGCUGGUCUCAAACUGACAGAGAUCUGCCUGCCUCUGCCUCCUGAGCGCUGGGACUAAAGGUGUGUGCCACCAUAUCCAGCUCCUACUGUUCUAAUUAACCCCCAGGGCUUGAGCUGGUUGCUGCCUGGACUCUGCAGUUCCCUAGGACAACGUGGCACCUCCGUGCUUUACCCUUUUAUUGGUUCAAAGCGGGCUUUUACAUUGUUUACAACUGAACGUGCCCUGAUCUCAUAGCCAAAUGUGGAAGCCCAUGCCAGACAAGUAUCAGGUCCCAGCUAUGCCAGCCAGAGGCCAUUUGCAGGACACAGAUAGCACCGGGUCUCACUGAGCGACCCCUGUGUGCCUAUUCUUCAUCCAUCAUGAUGUGUCCCCUCAUUUACUUUCCAUAUCCCACGUGGACUGUAUAAAGAGAGGGUCACUUGUAAGACAGAAACCACAUUAAAAACCCAGAGAGGGGUGGGUAAGAUGGCUGUGUGGCUAGAGGUACUGCCAGCAAGUCUGCUGAUGUGAUCAAGUCUGAGUUUGAUCCCCAGGACCUGACUGGUGGAAGGAGGAGCCACUGCUCUCAAGUUGUCCCCUAUCCUCCACAGGCAUGCUAUGUGCAGGUAUGAACCACACACGCACACACAUACUACACAGGCACAUGUUCGUGCAUGCACGCACAUACAGACAAUGUGAUUGUGUGUGGCAGGGCAUAGACAAUGGUGGGCAGGUGAGGGCCGGGAAUGAUCAGUGUAUGUAUCACGUGUGUGUGAAGUUGUCUAAAAACAAAUUUAAUAAAGUAAAACAUAUAGAUGAGGUAUUUUCAUUUAAAAGGCUUCCUUGUGCUUUUUAAUAAUUUCUCAUUUUAUAGAAUUUCUCUCAGCCUCUAUUCAUGUGCAUAAAUAUACUUUAAUUUACUAAACGG
rnacentral:lncRNA from 1 species